GAGCGAUGAGGACAACAACGCACUUUGUGAUGCUGGGCGCAUCACGACGGUCAGAUUAUCAACUGACAUUACCAGCGUUCCUGAGCUC